CCUACGGGAGGCAGCAGUGAGGAAUAUUGGUCAAUGGGCGUAAGCCUGAACCAGCCAAGUCGCGUGAGGGAUGAAGGUUCUAUGGAUCGUAAACCUCUUUUAUAAGGGAAUAAAGUGUGGGACGUGUCCUGUUUUGUAUGUACCUUAUGAAUAAGGAUCGGCUAACUCCGUGCCAGCAGCCGCGGUAAUACGGAGGAUCCGAGCGUUAUCCGGAUUUAUUGGGUUUAAAGGGUGCGUAGGCGGCCUUUUAAGUCAGCGGUGAAAGUCUGUGGCUCAACCAUAGAAUUGCCGUUGAAACUGGGAGGCUUGAGUUUGUUUGAGGCAGGCGGAAUGCGGGGUGUAGCGGUGAAAUGCUUAGAUAUCACGCAGAACCCCGAUUGCGAAGGCAGCCUGCCAAGCCAUGACUGACGCUGAGGCACGAAAGCGUGGGGAUCAAACAGGAUUAGAUACCCGUGUAGUC
rnacentral:rRNA from 1 species